AGUGGGAGCGGUGGCACAUGCCUGUAGUCCCAGCUACUCAAGAGGCUGAGGUGGGGGAUCGCUUGAGUCCAGGAGUUCUGGGCUGUAGUGCACUAUGCCGAUCGGGUGUCUGCACUAAGUUCGACAUCAAUAUGGUGACCUCCCGGGAGUGGGGGAACACCAGGUUGUCUAAGGAGGGGUGAACUGGCCCAGGUCGGAAAUGGAGCAGGUCAAAACUCCCGUGGUGAUCAGUAGUGGGAUCGCACCUGUGAAUAGUCACUGCACUCCAGCCUGGGCAACAUAGAGAGACCCCAUCUCU
rnacentral:SRP_RNA from 1 species